rnacentral:tRNA from 1 species
GGCAUGGUGGCUCAGUGGUUAGAGCACCCGCCUCAUGAACGGGAGGUCGUGGGUUCGAUCCCCGGCCGAGUCA